rnacentral:antisense_RNA from 1 species
CGCUAUGGCGGGUUGUGCGGGCAGCUUCACGGCUGGCCGUUACUCCUACGGUAUUCCUACCCCGCACAACCAGCCGCCUAU